AUAAGAAACCAAAUUACAAUCAAAUGAUAGUUAAAUUAUGGAGCUAUAAGGGUGGAUAUAUUUGGAAUAUCUAAAGGGUUAUACCUAUAAUAAAUGCAACUAUUUUUACAUAGGUAUAUCCAAAAUAUCUAAAAGACAACAAAUGUCUUAAAAAACAUUUCUGGUUCUAGGAAAAUCCCAUUCAUUGAAAACUCUGAUUCUAUUUCUAUUCAAAAAUUUACAUUUUCGGGCCUCCCCUGUGUCAUAUUACAAAAAAAAAUUACUUGGAAAUGAAAAUUAAGUCUUUCCGGAAAUAGGAAUCCUUCCCAUUAAAUACUUAAAUUGUUAAAUACCUAUUACAUUAUUUAAAGUAAAUUUUAAAUGUAACUACGCAUAUACAGUUAUAGUACAGAAUGACCUAUACUUUUUUAUCUGCUUUUUUACAACGAAUAUUACAGAAAAAAAAUAAUCCAAUAUGCAAACAUUUAAUGGACUAUUCAAAAUUGAGCAUUGGAAGUAAAUGGAUUAACGGAAAUUCUUCCACACAUUUCCAACAGCUGCUGCUACGGCUGCUUGGACUUACGCGCGGGCGCGUCAGCAAAUCAAUUAAAAGUGCAACAUGUGAAAAGGCGUAUGUGUGUGUGUGUAUUCACGCAUGCGAUUGUGUGUGCUUGCGCGUUUAUUUCCAUUACAAAUUCCCAUAGGCUGUUGGGCAUGCGCGGAAAUACGCACAAAUUUCCACAAUGAAAAGCGUGUUAAAGCAGAGCCCACAGUAAACAAUACACGCAUAAACGGUAAACCAAUUGCCGCUACCUGCGCGAGCCCACAAAAACGCCCGGCGAAACGCCCAAGAAGGGCGACACACGCGCAUACUCACACAUGCACGAAUUGAAGACGCAUUCAAACUGUGAAUGAUUCGUGCGCAUAUGAAUGUCCACACACACAAACGCGGAUAUACAAGCAUGUGUAAAGCGCCGUUAGCGCCGCUCAUAAAUGUCAAUGCAAAAUGUUACUGCUGCUGCUACUCCCGGCACAUAUGGUGCGAUCGCCCUAUCUCGCUCUCGCUUUCACUAUGAAGAGUCUCUUUUUUUUUGGAAUAUGCGAAAGAUGCGACUGGAAGCGUAUUUAAUGCGAAAAAAAGCGACAAAGGCCAGCAAUAUGCAUAUGUGUGUGUGCUGUAUUCCCACACGAAACGAGUUUUUCCAAAUAUUUAUGCAUUACGCCAACAAAAAGUCCAUUAACAAUGCACACACAAACGCAUAAAGCUAAGAAGCGUUUUUAAUAUCCGGCAGGAAGAACAACAAAACAAGCGGCAAAAUUGCUGCGUUUGUUUAUUAUUAUUGUUGCUCGUAUUAUUGUUUAUUUGCACUGCGUACCUUCUUUGCAGCAAUAAAUUAGAUUAUUUUGAUAAAACUCCAAUUUCGAUUUGGCACACACACAAAACAACAAUAAAUAA